CAGAGUGUGGGACGCAAUCCGGGAGUCAUGGCAACAGGGAUUCUAUGGCAGCCGCAGGAGGUCAGGUGGCGCUGGGUUUCCUGACUUCCGGAAGAGAAGCAUCCCAUUUCUCAAGUGUCUGAAGACUCUAAGAAAAGUUGGAUGACUCCGUCUCUGAGAGUUACACCUUCCCCAUUUCCACCUGACGACAGCACUGGCAAUAUCUCUGGCUGUGCCUGUGAGUACUGAAGUCAGAUUACUCUUGGACAUCAAGUGCCAAGAGAGCUUGAAAUAUUACCUCUGCUUGAACUUAGGAGUUUUGACAGCAGGGGCUUAUAGAAGCUAAAAAGAUCCAGAUUCUCAGAAGAAGCUGGUACCCACGUAUUCCAGGUAGAAUGGCUCGGCUGCAUUUGCUUUGCCUCCCCUGAGCUGACAUCCCAGCACUGAAUUUUUCAGAAACAGAGGACCCAGGAGGAAAACCAGCCAAUGUAGGAGACCCAUGUGAGCCUUUCCUGGACAGAGCACUCACAGAUGGAGACACUGGGGAAACCUGUCCACUUGGUGUCUUCGGCAGACUGUUUCAUCAUAGAAAAUGGCUGCUGUCAUGUCAGACUGUCAACCGCUGCAUGGCUGCAUAUUCAGUGGUUGCAGCAUCCACUGAAUAUAUAGUUCUUGACAUUGCAAA